AUUGAACGCUGGCGGCAGGCCUAACACAUGCAAGUCGAGCGAGUGGCGGACGGGUGAGUAAUGUCUGGGAAACUGCCUGAUGGAGGGGGAUAACUACUGGAAACGGUAGCUAAUACCGCAUACCAUCAGAUGUGCCCAGAUGGGAUGAGCUGGUAGGUGGGGUAAUGGCUCACCUAGGCGACGAUCCCUAGCUGGUCUGAGAGGAUGACCAGCCACACUGGAACUGAGGAGCGGUCCACACUCCUACGGUAGGCAGCAGUGGUGAAGAUUGCACAAGGGGCGCAAGCCUGAUGCAGCCAUGCCGCGUGGUGGAAGAAGGCCUUCGGGUUGUAAAGGACUUUCAGCGGGGAGGCGUUACUCGCAGAAGAAGCACCGGCUAACUCCGUGCCAGCAGCCGCGGUAAUAC
rnacentral:rRNA from 1 species